UGGCUGAGGAUGAGCCUCCUGUUCUCUCC
rnacentral:piRNA from 1 species